GACAGAGGUGCCGAGCGUUAGGCGGAAUCACUGGGCUUAAAGCGUGUGUAGGCGGACCGUUAAGUACCUUGUGAAAUCCCCCGGCUCAACCGGGGAACGGCUGGGUAUACUGCCGGUCUUGAGCCACCUAGGGGCGAGCGGAACAAAUGGUGGAGCGGUGAAAUGCGUAGAUAUCAUUUGGAACGCCAAUGGUGAAAACAGCUCGCUGGGGGUGUGCUGACGCUGAGACACGAAAGCCAGGGGAGCAAACGGG
rnacentral:rRNA from 1 species